CGGUUUCGUUAUAAAAUUGACUUGUAGAUAUAAGUAGCAGAGACCUCGAAGGAAGUUGACAGAAUUCAUGUCUUUUUCUAAAAUGAAGGCGUCGAUAUCUUCCGCGCUUUUACUCAGAUAAAUAUUUGAAAGAAAGGAGUUGUGCACAAAGCUAGACGAUGAUGUUAUGGCGAAGAUGUUAAUAUGAAAAAUUUGUUUGUUUGGGCUUUAUGUUAAUCGUAUUUGUUAAUUUUCAGAUUUAAAAUGAGUGAUUUAGACGUCCCCAGUGCUUUAGUUCCCAAUAGUGUUAAGGAUCCCAAACCCAAACCUUUUUCCGUUGGUAGUAUUCAGGUGAAUCCCUGCCAGCGAGGGAACCCAAUCCUGAAGGAAAUUAGGAAUGUUCCCUGGGAGUUUGUGGAAGGAAUUGCCCCUGAUUAUAUCCUAGGUCCAAACUGUUUAGCUCUGUUUCUCUCCUUAAGAUAUUUUACCCUUCAACCCAAAUAUAUUCAUGACAGAUUAAAAGCUAUUGGUUCUGGUAGUAAGCUGCGUGUUCUCCUAGUUCUAAUUGAUCAAAAAGAUCCACAUUUUGCUCUCAAUAAACUCAUGAGAAUCAGUAUACUAAGUGAGCUGACCCUAAUGCUAGCCUGGAACAAUGCUGAAGCUGGCAAGAUAUUGGAAACAUAUAAAAUCUAUGAGAAUAAACCUCCAGAUAUGAUAAUGGAAAAAACAGGAACGCAGGUUCAUGAAAAGAUGAUUGAAGCGCUUACUUCUAUUAAAUCUAUUAGUAAAACUGAUGCAGCUACUCUGUUAGGAGUAUUCGGAAGCCUGGAGAAGAUAGUGGGAGCCAGCAGUGAGGAUUUAUCCCUGUGUCCCGGGUUUGGUCCACAGAAAGCUCAACGCCUGCAAAAAGUUCUCAAAGAAAGCUUUAAACGACAAACAAAACGAAUCUAAAUAUUUUCCAUAUAUAUUUAUUCAAACUAAGAGAGAGCAAUCCAAAUUUCGUUAUUUCAAGUCGCUCAUGUCCGAUUCACAAUGUCCCUGUACAGAUUAACUUUAGAUCUAUGUACACUGUACAGGGUUAUCCACAAAGAAUGCUACUCAAAUGAGGACCUGGAACUCUGGCAUUGCCACAAUGGGUUUUAAUCGGUCUUAAAGGAAGUGUCUGAGAGUGCAGUAUUGUAGAGAAACUGAUUAGCAAUCACUUGUAUGGUGUAUAAUUGUUUAAGUAAGAGCGCCAAAUCGAUCUUUAAAAUCUUCCUGGCACUCGAUCCCUGGCAGGUUGUAGCGCGCCCAGCACGCCUGCAACAAGGUAUGCUGCGCCACAAUCUGCUGGACACUGGACAGGCUUGCCGCGCUUUUAUAUGGUCUGAUAUUGAAUGUGACCUUUUGCAGAGACUAGAGAGAACUGCGAAUUUCAUAAUUAAGACUGAAUUAAACAUUCGCCUCAUAAACUAAAUACCUUGUGGAUAACUCUGUUUCUAACUCAUUUCAACUUAAUAGUAAAAGAAGAAUAUUUAGACUCUAUUAUAUUGAUGUUCCAUAAAGUGAACAAUCUCUUUUUUUAACUCAUGUACCUAAAUAAAGUGUGACGCAUAGUUUUUACUAUUAUUUUAAAUAUGUUUCA
rnacentral:misc_RNA from 1 species